rnacentral:rRNA from 1 species
AGUGAACGCUGGCGGUAGGCCUAACACAUGCAAGUCGAACGGCAGCACAGUAAGAGCUUGCUCUUACGGGUGGCGAGUGGCGGACGGGUGAGGAAUACAUCGGAAUCUACUUUUUCGUGGGGGAUAACGUAGGGAAACUUACUCUAAUACCGCAUACGACCUACGGGUGAAAGCAGGGGAUCUUCGGACCUUGCGCGAUUGAAUGAGCCGAUGUCGGAUUAGCUAGUUGGCGGGGUAAAGGCCCACCAAGGCGACGAUCCGUAGCUGGUCUGAGAGGAUGAUCAGCCACACUGGAGCUGAGCCACGGUCCAGGCUCCUACGGGAGGCAGCAGUGGGGAAUAUUGGACAAUGGGCGCAAGCCUGAUCCAGCCAUACCGCGUGGGUGAAGAAGGCCUUCGGGUUGUAAAGCCCUUUUGUUGGGAAAGAAAAGCAGCAGGUUAAUACCCCGCUGUUCUGACGGUACCCAAAGAAUAAGCACCGGCUAACUUCGUG